rnacentral:tRNA from 1 species
UCCGGAGUAGCUCAAUGGUAGAGUAGGAUAGUUUUUUUAAAACACGUGCACAUACUAAAAAAACUAACAAGGCUGUGGGUUCGAAUCCCACCUCUGUAA